GGAAACGAUGGCUAAUACCGCAUAAUAGCUUCGGCUCAAAGAGGGGGACCUUCGGGCCUCUCGCGUCAGGAUAUGCCCAGGUGGGAUUAGCUAGUUGGUGAGGUAAGGGCUCACCAAGGCGACGAUCCCUAGCUGGUCUGAGAGGAUGAUCAGCCACACUGGAACUGAGACACGGUCCAGACUCCUACGGGAGGCAGCAGUGGGGAAUAUUGCACAAUGGGCGCAAGCCUGAUGCAGCCAUGCCGCGUGUAUGAAGAAGGCCUUCGGGUUGUAAAGUACUUUCAGCAGUGAGGAAGGUKSAUGCGUUAAUAGCGUAUUCAUUUGACGUUAGCUGCAGAAGAAGCACCGGCUAACUCCGUGCCAGCAGCCGCGGUAAUACGGAGGGUGCGAGCGUUAAUCGGAAUUACUGGGCGUAAAGCGCAUGCAGGUGGUUUGUUAAGUCAGAUGUGAAAGCCCGGGGCUCAACCUCGGAAUUGCAUUUGAAACUGGCAGACUAGAGUACUGUAGAGGGGGGUAGAAUUUCAGGUGUAGCGGUGAAAUGCGUAGAGAUCUGAAGGAAUACCGGUGGCGAAGGCGGCCCCCUGGACAGAUACUGACACUCAGAUGCGAAAGCGUGGGG
rnacentral:rRNA from 1 species